AAACCAGCCAAUGGUUGGCUGGUCGCUUACAGGUAAUUUGUGCCUUGGUUAUCUGCAGAGCGCCUCUUUCUAU
rnacentral:ncRNA from 1 species